rnacentral:rRNA from 1 species
GAUGAACGCUAGCGGCAGGCUUAACACAUGCAAGUCGAGGGGUAGAUUACUUCGGUAAUUGAGACCGGCGCACGGGUGCGUAACGCGUAUACAAUCUACCUUUUACAGAGGGAUAGCCCAGAGAAAUUUGGAUUAAUACCUCAUAGUAUUUUCGAAUCGCAUGAUUUGAUUAUUAAAGUUCCAGCGGUAAAAGAUGAGUAUGCGUACCAUUAGCUAGAUGGUAAGGUAACGGCUUACCAUGGCUACGAUGGGUAGGGGUCCUGAGAGGGAGACCCCCCACACUGGUACGGAGACCCGGACCAGACUCCCACGGGAGGCAGCAGUGAGGAAUAUUGGACAAGGGGGGCAAGCCUGAUCCAGCCAUGCCGCGUGCAGGAAGAAGGUCCUAUGGAUUGUAAACUGCUUUUAUACAGGAAGAAACACCUCUACGUGUAGAGACUUGACGGUACUGUAUGAAUAAGGACCGGCUAACUCCGUGCCAGCCGCCGCCGUAA